CUGCAUGGCUGUCGUCAGCUCGUGUCGUGAGAUGUUGGGUUAAGUCCCGCAACGAGCGCAACCCUUGCCAGUAGUUGCUACGAAAGGGCACUCUAAUGGGACUGCCGGUGACAAACCGGAGGAAGGUGGGGAUGACGUCAAGUCCUCAUGGCCCUUAUAGGUGGGGCUACACACGUCAUACAAUGGCUGGUACAGAGGGUUGCCAACCCGCGAGGGGGAGCUAAUCUCAUAAAACCAGUCGUAGUCCGGAUCGCAGUCUGCAACUCGACUGCGUGAAGUCGGAAUCGCUAGUAAUCGCGGAUCAGCUUGCCGCGGUGAAUACGUUCCCGGGUCUUGUACACACCGCCCGUCACACCAUGGGAGCGGGUUCUGCCAGAAGUAGUUAGCCUAACCGCAAGG
rnacentral:rRNA from 1 species